AGUGUUUUAACAGUAGGACUCACUAAUCACAUAAAUUCUUUUUAAUCCAAAAAAUGACGUAUAGAUAUAGUUGAAACUGAGUGAAAGAGAAUGGUAUAGACACUGCAUCACACUCAUCUUAACAACUAAAACAUUCCAACAUCCAUUGUAGAAAAAGAAAGAGUAUUAUCAUCGUUCUCGUAUCUCAAUAUGAUACAACAACAAUGAGUCCUCCAUAUUCUCGACCACCAUGUUCACCCUAUUAUCCAUACUAUUCUCCUCCACCACAAAACCCUUUCCACCACCUCCACCACCACCUUCAAACUGUAACACGACCAAACCUCCAACUCCCAUUUCCUGUAACUGUUCAGGCCUUCCCAAUCCUCCUAUUGUUCCUCCUUCCCCUUCUCCAAUCACAUCCUACGUACUCUUCUCCUCCUCCUCCU
rnacentral:lncRNA from 1 species